GACGGAGGGGGCUAGCGUUGUUCGGAAUGACUGGGUGAAAAGGGCGCGUAGGCGGCAUUUUAAGUGAGGCGUGAAAGCCCUGGGCUUAACCAAGGAGGUGCGUUUCAUACUGGAAUGCUAGAGUGCGAGAGAGGGAAGUGGAAUUCCGAGUGUAGAGGUGAAAUUCGUAGAUAUUAGGAAGAACACCAGAAGCGAAGGCGGCUUUCUGGCUCGCAACUGACGCUGAGGCGCGAAAGCGUGGGGAGGAAACAGG
rnacentral:rRNA from 1 species